CAAAGUUCAAAACACACACCAAUACACUUAAGAAGGAAGAAGGACAUCGGAAAUAAAUAAAUGAAAUUUAUUGUUUAAUUUGAUUGCCUCGAAGAUAAUAUGUUCAGCAAGGAUAUGAGUAUAACCAAUAUGGAAAAAGUUAAAAAAAAAUUAAGAGGAGGAAGUAGUGCCAACCUCAUCCUUUAGAAAUAAGGAAAGAUGUUUCAAGACAAAAAUCUUUUCCACUCCUCACUAAAGAUUCUUGGCCUGUUCAGUUCUCGUCUCAAGAGCAUGGCUGCAGAACAUCAGAUUCACUAGUUCUUGUUCCUUCCAAGCGCCCGCCCCCCACCCAUGCUUAUCUGAAUAUAUAAGCCUGCCCUUUGCUCAGAUUUAUGGGUCGGGCCAGAGCUGUGUGUAUUUACAGUGUUCUGACCUGAAGACCCUGGGCUGAAGGAGAAGAGGAGGAAACCAGGCCCAUUCCAUAAACAGAGACAGAUAUGAGGGGGAGGUAGAAGGCCUUGCUAGCACUUAACAUUUUUAACUAUUUGGCCAAGCUUAAGAAUUAGUGAUUAGAUUAGAGCAAAAGUAGAAUGAGAGACCGGAGUGCAGACUUGGUGGGGGGGAGUAAACUGUAUUUUUGGCCUAGGUUGGGGGAUGGGAGUGGGGUUAAAUGUAAUGUGGAAGGUCUGAGAGAAAAUUGAUAACUCAGAUGCAGAGGGAGCUAUAAAAUGCUUUGGGAAGGCAGAGGGUGUACAAAGAGGAGGAUAUAAACUGCCUUCAAUAAGUUAGAAAUUUUCUCCAACCACAACUUGCAUUUCUUGUGUGAAGCAGGACUGCUUGCAUUCUUUAAACUGUAAAGGGUCAUCGAAGAAAAAUCUCCUGCUCCAUGCUUAAAUGAGAACACAUUGCCAUAGAUUACCAAAACCUAAUCAAUUGUGAGUUGAAAUAUUUUUCUCAGGGUCUGGUGGCCACUUGAAAGCAAUUCCAUUUUCAAACAGGAGUGCUUGGUAAAAGGGACCACCCCCAUGCAGAGCUCUGGUCCACAUGCCAGUUCAAAUGGGAAAGAGCAUGCAAUGGACUCCAAGCUGCUCGGCACCCAAAAACUGAACCGUACACCCCCAGGGCGACAUCUUUACCCAUAAACCAAAUGUGAAAGUACAACUUCUCUCUGGGCCAUUCUCAAAUAACCUACUUGCUGGAAAAACUUGAGUGCAUGCAGAAAAACUGGCCUACUGACUGACUAAAUUAGAAAUAAUCUGGCAUCCAUAAGUAAAGUCUACAAUAUUCACUGGAGACCUCCAAAGCAAAGCAACUGGGACAACACAUCACCACAGGUGAAAUCUCUCUCAGCAGCUGGCUUAUGAAAUAAUGGGAAGGGAGGCCUUAAUGAGCAGAAAGCACCCUCAGCUGGAGAUAAAUAUAUGCAAAUGAGAUGCACAAACAAAGGAGCCUGGACAGAGAAAUAUCUGCAAUUCCAGCAAAAUGCUGCCUGCAGCUCGAAGAUGAACAGCUUUGAUAAAAUGGAAUUAAGCCCCAAUCCCAGUCUCUUGCCGGAAGACAGGCUGGACCCAGGACAGAGAAAUUGCUGCACGUGAACAUAUGUAUGAUGCUUAGGUUAAUAAUCAAAGCAGUUAAGGUGAGAGAUGUAACACUAGACACUUCACAUGUAUCCAAAUACCAUCACUCUAAAAGCUCUGCAAUAUUUGGUUCUUUCAUUUAUAAUCCAAUCUUCACAUUCUGAGUAAAGAUGUACAGUCCUUUACUUAAAUUAUUUCAUCUUGGUUGCCUGGAUUGGAGCAGAGACAUUUCUUCUGAGUACUGUGGAGCUUUCACAUUUUAUGUGCAUUUCAUCAGGCAAAUGUCAAAUUUGCUAAUAACAAGAAAAUCUCCUCAUUUUUAAUCAUGCCACUCCUGUUGCAUGGGUUGGGGGUGGGGGGAGGAGGGAGUGGAGGAGGAAAUAUAAAGCACUGAGCAGUCUGACCAAAGAGCAGAAGGAGAAAAUGUUUCUUUGGGUUUGGAAACGACACAUGCUUGGUUAUCUCCAUGCCUGCAUCAGCACAUCAUUAAAUUCAGAAAUUCAGGAGUUAACAGAAACUUGGUUCUAUUAGAGAUGCUUUUGCCAGCCCAGGUUUGAGGCAGCAUAAUUACGCUCAACUGCUGUUGUCUGGAAAGGGCAAACAGCAUCUUAGGCACAGAACAAUGAAAUCACAGCUGAGAUUUAGGUUAGCAAAAGCCAGCUUCUCUAGGCUUUUAUGAUUCAUUAUUUCCCAUUAAAUACAGUAUUAGAA